rnacentral:misc_RNA from 1 species
UUUCCGUAGGUGAACCUGCGGAAGGAUCAUUCAUAAUAAAGUGUUUUAUGGCACUUUUUAAAAAUCCAUAUCCACCUUGUAUGCAAUGUUAGAUCUCGUCAAUCUUGGCGAGAUUUUUAUACAUCAACUCAUUCUUUAACUAAUUUGUCUGAAAAAUAUUAUGAAUACUUAAUUCAAAAUACAACUUUCAACAACGGAUCUCUUGGUUCUCGCGUCGAUGAAGAACGCAGC